rnacentral:rRNA from 1 species
AUUGAACGCUGGCGGCAGGCCUAACACAUGCCAGUCGAGCGGAUGAAGGGAGCUUGCUACUGGAUUCAGCGGCGGACGGGUGAGUAAUGCCUAGGAAUCUGCCUGGUAGUGGGGGAUAACGUCCGGAAACGGGCGCUAAUACCGCAUACGUCCUGAGGGAGAAAGUGGGGGAUCUUCGGACCUCACGCUAUCAGAUGAGCCUAGGUCGGAUUAGCUAGUUGGUGGGGUAAAGGCCUACCAAGGCGACGAUCCGUAACUGGUCUGAGAGGAUGAUCAGUCACACUGGAACUGAGACACGGUCCAGACUCCUACGGGAGGCAGCAGUGGGGAAUAUUGGACAAUGGGCGAAAGCCUGAUCCAGCCAUGCCGCGUGUGUGAAGAAGGUCUUCGGAUUGUAAAGCACUUUAAGUUGGGAGGAAGGGCAGUAAGUUAAUACCUUGCUGUUUUGACGUUACCAACAGAAUAAGCACCGGCUAACUUCGUG